UGGGGAAUUUUGGACAAUGGGCGCAAGCCUGAUCCAGCCAUGCCGCGUGCGGGAAGAAGGCCUUCGGGUUGUAACCGCUUUUGUCAGGGAAGAAAUCUUCUGAGUUAAUACCUCGGGAGGAUGACGGUACCUGAAGAAUAAGCACCGGCUAACUACGUGCCAGCAGCCGCGGUAAUACGUAGGGUGCAAGCGUUAAUCGGAAUUACUGGGCGUAAAGCGUGCGCAGGCGGUUUUGUAAGACAGAGGUGAAAUCCCCGGGCUCAACCUGGGAACUGCCUUUGUGACUGCAAGGCUUGAGUGCGGCAGAGGGGAUGGAAUUCCGCGUGUAGCAGUGAAAUGCGUAGAUAUGCGGAGGAACACCGAUGGCGAAGGCAAUCCCCUGGGCCUGCACUGACGCUCAUGCACGAAAGCGUGGGGAGCAAACAGGAUUAGAUACCCUGGUAGUCCACGCCCUAAACGAUGUCAACUGGUUGUUGGGAAGGUUCCUUCUCAGUAACGUAGCUAACGCGUGAAGUUGACCGCCUGGGGAGUACGGCCGCAAGGUUGAAA
rnacentral:rRNA from 1 species